UACGUAGGGAGCAAGCGUUGUCCGGAAUCAUUGGGCGUAAAGCGCGCGUAGGUGGCCUCGUAAGUCCGCUGUGAAAGUCCAAGGCUCAACCUUGGAAAGCCGGUGGAUACUGUGAGGCUAGAGUACGGAAGAGGCGAGUGGAAUUCCUGGUGUAGCGGUGGAAUGCGCAGAUAUCAGGAGGAACACCUGUGGCGAAGGCGGCUCGCUGGGCCGGUUCUGACACUCAUCCGCGAAAGCGUGGGGAGCAAACAGG
rnacentral:rRNA from 1 species